GAGUUUGAUCCUGGCUCAGUGACGAACGCUGGCGGCGUGCUUAACACAUGCAAGUGGAGCGACGAACCAGGGCUUCGGCCUGCGGCAUGAGCCGCGAAACGGGUGAGUUAACACGGUGGGUAACGUGCCCCGAUGACUGGGACAACCCGGGGAAACCCGGGCUAAUACCGGAUAUGCCCCCUCACGCGAGUGAGGUGUGUAAAGGAAGCUUCGGCCUCCGCAUCGGGAUCGGCCCGCGGUCCAUUAGCUUGUUGGUGAGGUAACGGCUCACCAAUGCUGCGUAUGGGUAGCUGGUCUGAGAGUGACGAUCAGCGCACACUGGUGACUGAGACAUCGGCCCAGACUCCUACGGGAGGCAGCAGUGGGGAAUCUUGCGCAAUGCGCGAACAGCGUGACGCAUGGCAACGCCGCGUGGGGGAAUGAAGGCCUUCGGGUUGUAAACCCCUUUCAGUUUGGGACGAAGGUCGGGCGGUGAAUAUGGCCGUUCCGGCUGACGGUACCUUCACAAGAAGCCCCGGCUAACUACGUGCCAGCAGCCGCGGUAAUACGUAUGGGGCAAGCGUUGUCCGGAAUCAUUGGGCGUAAAGAGCGUGUGGGCGGCCCGAUAAGUCCGCUGUGAAAGUCGAGGGCUCAACCCUCGAAUGCCGGCGGAUACUGUCGGGCUAGAGUCCGGAAGAGGCGAGUGGAA
rnacentral:rRNA from 1 species